rnacentral:rRNA from 1 species
GACGAACGCUGGCGGCGUGCCUAAUACAUGCAAGUAGAACGCUGAAGGAGGAGCUUGCUUCUCUGGAUGAGUUGCGAACGGGUGAGUAACGCGUAGGUAACCUGCCUGGUAGCGGGGGAUAACUAUUGGAAACGAUAGCUAAUACCGCAUAAGAGUGAAUGUUGCAUGGCAUUUGCUUAAAAGGUGCACUUGCAUCACUACCAGAUGGACCUGCGUUGUAUUAGCUAGUUGGUGGGGUAACGGCUCACCAAGGCGACGAUACAUAGCCGACCUGAGAGGGUGAUCGGCCACACUGGGACUGAGACACGGCCCAGACUCCUACGGGAGGCAGCAGU